rnacentral:rRNA from 1 species
UACGGAGGGGACUAGCGUUGUUCGGAAUUACUGGGCGUAAAGCGCACGUAGGCGGAUUUGUAAGUCAGGGGUGAAAUCACGGGGCUCAACCUCGGAACUGCCUUUGAUACUGCAAAUCUCGAGUCCGGAAGAGGUGAGUGGAAUUCCUAGUGUAGAGGUGAAAUUCGUAGAUAUUAGGAAGAACACCAGUGGCGAAGGCGGCUCACUGGUCCGGUACUGACGCUGAGGUGCGAAAGCGUGGGGAGCAAACAGG